rnacentral:sRNA from 1 species
CUUUCCCGCGCGACCGGCGAGGGAGGAAGAAGCGCGAAGAGCCGUUAAUCAUGCCGGUGUGGUGGCGGCGGCGGAGCCUGCGGGCCGGUAGCUGGGCUCUGCAAGGUGAAAGAAAGCCUUUGAGGUGAAGAUGUAUGAAGGUCAUCAUAACAAAUGUUUUCCAAAAACUUGCAGAAGGCUGUGAAAACUACUAGGAUCACGCGGCAUGUAUUGAGGUACCUAAAUUUAAUUAAUGUUAGUUAUGUGAUGUAUUCUUGACAGAUAGGUUUAAUAGCUGGCACAAUGAUGACUUAAAUUACUUUUUGCCGUUUACCCAGCUGAGGGUGUCUUUGAAGAAAUAAUUUUAAGACUGAGAUGCCAGUAAUGUACAUUGAUUAAUUACUGACAUGUAUGUAAGGCAAUAAUUUAAUUAAGGGUGAAUAUUCUUUCUUUUUAGCAUAUAGGUUGCUGUAGAUGAAUGUUCUUAGCUGUCAUGUUUAAAAAUACUUCUUCGUUACCUCAAGUAAGUGAUUUGUCAAGCAACUAUGUCUGCUGACAGUUCAGAAAGUAUCUGAU